ensembl:lncRNA
GUAGAAAGUUCAUUUUGAAAUCAUUCAAUUGGGAAGAAGGCUAGUUCUUGACAUACUACUUGUUAAUUUUGCUCACAAGCCUCAAAAGACACUGCCUAUAGAGCAGUCAUUUUAUGACCUCACACACAGGGCCCUCCCCUUCCUCUCGGCAGUAGCCCAUGGGCACACCAUUGUACUCACAGUGGCCUGUUAUUUGUCAAGAGGCUGGAGCCCGAGGUGGCACUGUAAUGAUUUAGCCCUCUGAGGAUCAUUUAUUAAGUAGCUGUGGAUUGGGAAGCUGCUUGCAGCUGGUCACAGAGGUCACCAAGAAAAUUUUGCACCUGGAGAUUUUGUAUCAGCAAGAAGUGGAUAGAAAAGGAGAGGGUCGCUGGGAGGAAGUUGCCAGGUUCUCAAGUUACCCAGAAGACACAGUGGCCAUUUACAAGGAGAGGCAUUGGAAGUCCACACAGGGGCCCAGAGAAGCAAAAGACAGGACUUUCCCAAUAUCACAUCAACUGACUUCAGUCUUUCUAUUCCUUGCUGCAAGAUACUUCUACUAGAGAACAGAAGAAGUCAAUAUCUAAAGAAUGUCCAAAAAUAAAAAUUCUUCUUUUAAAAUGAGGUCUCGGUACCUCUUCAGGGAAGCCGUCCCUUCACAGUUCACAGUUCACAGUUCACAGUUCACAGUUCACAGUUAGGCCUUAUUGAUCUAAAAAGAACUGAGCUCUUCCUGAGUUUAUGGAUUUAUUAUAUUUCUAUGUUGCCUGCACUAGAAUGUAAACUCCAAGAGGACAGGGCUUUGUCUGUUCUGUUCACUGGUGUGCCCCGAGUACCCACCACAGUGCUUGGCCCCCAUGUGAUGGUCAGAAUGAAUAAAUGAAUGAAUGAAAUGAAAUCUGGCUGUCACCACAGGGACUCAGGACUAACAAUAGAAGGAACAAAAAUAAGAUCUGAAAAAGCUAUAUGUUUAUUACAAUAAAAAUAAUGUACUAAAUGGGCAUUUUGAGAAACUUCAUUUUGUUUCUUUUUGUCCUGGUAAUGAGGGCUAAGAAGAUCCCAGAUAUUACCAUCUCCCUGGUGUCCCCAAACCUUUACUUAUUAAGGUCAGACACCUGCCAUUUA